UCUCCUAAGUCUAACAAAAAGAAAGUCCUAGGUCAUGUUGAACUUCGUCCAAAACCUAGGGACUCUCUAUAAAUCUGAUCCCCCUUCCAUUCUAGGAACUCCAUUGUUGUGAUUUCCUCCCAAUCACUUCCAAUUUGCGAGUUCUUUGAUCAAGACUUCCACGGAUUCACAUCGAGUUUUCUAACCCUGCCAGCUUGCAUAACUCGCUGGAGUCGAGCCACCACGGCUGCAUGUUGCUGCCAUCACAGCCUUCAUUGUCGAAGGGUGAGCCCCGGAGGACAUUUGCCGCUAUCACCGAUUGCCACGAGCUUCCUCCAUCUGGUAUGAUAUUGAGUGAUAAAAACAUGUGUAUAAGCUCGUUUAUUAGUGCUAUUAGAGCUAUGUAUACUCUAAACAGCAAGCACAAAUUCAACAGAUGCACCCCUUUUUGUGCAAAUUAAAGAAAUAAUUAACAUGGCCAAUGAACAAAGCAGAAGUACCGUACCUACUUAAAUUUUAGUGUUAGAAUAUAAAAUUUUGUCUUUGUACUGAUAUGAAGUAAUCGCAAGCAUUGAUUGUCGUGUUGCAACUUAUGAUCGAAUCUGGCCCAAUCAUUUGUUUUGGUAACAUUAGACUCCUGUAGAUAACUUCUGCAUUUAGUACACAUUCGCAUAUGAAGCAGCAGCUGCUACAUUGCUGAACCAAUACAUUAGUAAGAGAGAACGGACAAAUCUACUCCAAAAAUCAUAUCUUGGUUUAACAAUGCAACUUAGGAUGAUGGCUUGCAACAAUCAAAUAAACGAUUACAUCUUUCUAUUAAAGAUUUGGGAUUGAGGACAGAUGGAAUUCCUAACAAUCCUUUUCAGCAUUCGACCUGAAUUGGAAUCUUUAAUCAUAGGUUCACCUAACAAGUUAAAAAUCUUCGCUCUUCAUUUUUCUCUAAUAUAAUCACUUCUAUUCCUCAUCCUCGCAAAACCAUAUUCCCAACCCUAAGCCUAAACCGAGAGGAGAGACAUCAGAAGAAAGAGCAAUGAGUGAAAGAACCUUACCCCAAGAAGCAACUGCCAGGAUCCAUGGGAACUCACCAGCAGCCGAUCAGCAACAAAGGGAUGGUUAAAUGAGAGGUUGACUAUAAGAAUAAAACUACUAGAGUAUCCUUUCUGUCAUCUUGAGACUAAUACGAUAUCGGCAAAGCACGGAAAAGAAUAGGAUAGUUCAGAUAUCAAACAUGAAAGUAAAUUUUGACAGAUCAAAGAAGGCUACCAAAGCAUUCCUCAUGGAAACAUUGGAAUAACAAAAUGCAGAAAAAAUAUCUUUCCUCCUAUCCCUGAAAAAAUCAAGAUAACGGGAUUCAUCUCGAAUCUUUCUCAGACCAGAGAGCCUGUCAAAUAUUUCUCGCAUGAACUAGGUAAUGGACAAACCACUCACCCCACAAACCCCAGUAGAGGAUAAACCGAUCAUCCAGACGCAAAAAUUUCUGCAGAAUACGUAAACGUAAACAAUCUCUAGAACACCGUCAAAGUUAGAGGUCAAUACAGGAAAACUACAUGAAUCAGCCGAAAACCAGUACCACCCAUUCUCGAUGGUGCUUUCGAACCCGCUUCCGAAGCAGCAGGAAAUGCACGAUUUGAUCUACUCAUGACAGAGGGCCCGUGCUACAUUAUUAAUAGACAGUAACACUUCACUGGGCACCAAUGUAUUAAUACUACCAUGCCCUGCCCCAGCAGAGCAUUGGAGGGACUGAAAGUAUUCAGUGGUUCACCAAGAAACAUUCUAGAGAAGAAUGCCACAGAUUCUCCUCAAGGGAAGCAACUGGAUUGUAUCACACAUGCACUGUAAACUGUCACCAAGCACUUCACUGUUUUCUAUAGUCAAGCACAAACUGGAAUCAUACAGGCAAAUUCAUUGAUUACAACGACACAAUCAACACCUGAAGUAGCCAUAUCCAAAAUAAAAUUCAUAGAACGAAACAUCAAACUUUCUGUUCUGCAGAUAUAACUGCAACGACAAAACAAUGACUUAUUUCUCUCGUCAGA